UGAUGAUGCUCCACGGUAAUAUCUACAC
rnacentral:piRNA from 1 species